rnacentral:rRNA from 1 species
CCUACGGGAGACAGCAGUGGGGAAUAUUGCACAAUGGGGGAAACCCUGAUGUAGCGACGCCGCGUGAGUGAAGAAGUAUCUCGGUAUGUAAAGCUCUAUCAGCAGGGUAGAAAAUGACGGUACCUGAAUAAGAAGCCCUGGCUAACUACGUGCCAGCCGCCGCGGUAAUACGGAGGGAGCAGGCGUUAUACGGAUGUACUGGGUUUAAGGGGAGCGUAGACGGCAGCACAAGUCUGGAGUGAAAUGCCCGGGCUUAACCCCGGAACUGCUUUGGAAACUGUGCAGCUAGAGUGCAGGGGAGGUAAGUGGAAUUCCUAGUGUAGCGGGGAAAUGCGUAGAUAUGAGGAGGAACACCAGUGGCGAAGGCGGCUUACUGGACUGUAACUGACGUUGAGGCUCGAAAGCGUGGGGAGCAAACAGGAUUAGAUACCCGGGUAGUC